AGGGAGGGAAAUAGACGGAAAAACUGGUUCCAAUCCCUAUCGCACUGGAGCUGUAAACGGAGCCUGGAACUUGCAAGACGUUGCCGCGUGGGCGCCGGCACAAAGGCUCCGGGGCGCGCAGGCGGUGGUGCGCCCACCCCGAGGAACUGCAGGCAAAGCCGCAGACCCACCGCCUGCCCUCAGGGCGCUUACAGCCAGCUACCCAGACGAACCCAGCCCCGAGCGUCCCCUGCCUCCUGUCCCCUCCUGAGUGGUGCCUCUGACCCCGCGCGAGCCUCGUCCAGGUGCCAAGAGCUCAGGAGACUGCAGGCGGCGGAAGCGGCCUGGGCUCUCAGGGGCCUGGGGCUGCCGCCCCAUCCGCGCGCACCCACCUGCCCGCCCACGCGCCCACCCAGCGGGCCGGAGCCACCGCCCGGGGACGCCCACCUACUCACCCUCUUCCGUCCCCUCCCUUCCCGGCCACCUCCCGAGGGACCUGCCGCUCCACCCCCAGUCUGUUGCAGGUGCCUCGCUAGAAGGGUCCCUGCCCUCCGCCGCGCCGCGUCCCGGGGGCGGGAAGACGGGCGCCCCGGGGCUGGCAGUCCCUCUCCCCGGGGGCGGAGUUCCCGACGGGGGCCGCGGAUGGGGGAGGCCCCAGUGGGGCGCACGUGGAUGAAUUUCUGGGAGGAAGCCAUGUACCAUCCGCUGUCGCUCGCUGCCAUCCAGUGUUUUCUCCCCCCAAAGUCCACAUCGCCAUCUGAUUGCAUUUUAAACCUCUGGAAGCAGAGACCCCAGUUCCCUGGGAUCCUCAGGGAAAUCAAACCCAGAAAGCCACCAGUGGGAGGGGCAGCCAGGUCAGCCUUGUUGAGGAGAAGAAGGCACCCACAGAGCUGACUCUGGAGCUUCACAGGUACCAUCAGACGGAGAAGAUAAAGCCCUGUGGACAUCAGAGAAGGAAAAGACCAUUUCCAGAUGUGGAGAACGCAGGGAGAAAUCCUCUUCAAUUCUGCUCACCUUUAGCACACCCACUUGGAGGAUUAGCUUAAAUGCCAUGCCCCAAAGCAAAGCUACUAUGAUCCCCAAAUGUGUCUGAAUUCAUUCUCCUAAGGAACCACACCAGUCUGCGUGGACCCACCUUAUGACACUUUGUGGGUUCUGUAUGGGAGCUUUGGAUCUUUACAUCUGCACGCAGCUUUGCUUCCUGUCUGUAGUUGACCUGUGUAAAUUCUUCCCAAAGAGAGCCUAGGGUCUACCAACUUUUGUAUUCUUUCCUCCACAACAUCCCUCCCACCACACCUGGCUUCAUACCUGGUACUUAGUAGGUGCUCAAUUAAUGAUUGUUGAAGGAAAGAAAGGAGGAGGGAACAGGAGAAAGGAAGACGAGGGGAGGGAGGGAAAGUGGGGGAGAGAGGGAAGAGGAAGGAAGGGAGAAAAGGAGGGGGGAAGGGAAAUGCUCUCAGGUGGAAACACUCCAUAAACAAAGUUAGGAGGCUCUUCAGCAUCUCUACACGUGUCUCAUCUCCUUCCCAAGUGCUGACAAAGGGGCCUGGGGUGCAGAUUUAAUUUCCUAUUGUCGCCCUGGGGAUAGGGCCCCAGUCUUCUCAGCACCCUGAGUGGAAGCCAACACUUUAUGCAUCGCACUGAGUAUGUGUUUCUGAUGAGAAGUAACAGCUGCAAACUCAUUUGGAUGAUUAAGAUUGCUCAGAUCAACAACCUUGAGCUGGAUCCAGUAAGAUAAAAGAAAUCCAUCAGCACCAUCACUCCUUUAGGAACAGGAGGUCGUGGAAGCAGAGGAGGAGUGCCCGCAGCCAGGGUCCUCUGGCUGAGAUGCAAGUGAGCUUCCAGGUGAAAACAGUCUCCAGAUGGCAGGCAUGUGGUGAUGGCUGGAACAUCCGGGGCUUUAAGCCUGGAGCAGGGAGGAGGAGAAAUGGAGACUGCUGAGGUGAACCAGACGGAAAUGUAUUCCCCACAUUUCUCUUGCUUUCUCUGAGAAGUGGUUCCCAAAUUGGUUCUCCCUAGCAGAGUAGGAAUUUGCACAGAAUGCAGAGGUCUGCUGAGACCAGGAAAGGUCUUGGAUUCUAGUGCCAGAGCUGCCUCAAGCUGGCAACAUGGCCUUGGACCACUUAUUUCACUCACCUUACCCCCAUCCCUGAAACAUUUUCCCUGUCAAGGUGGCCUUAUGUUCCAUUUUUUAGCUUAAUAGACUCUCUUCUUGAGCCAAAAAGCUUCAGUGGGAUUUGAAAAUAUUUUCUUUUCUCUCUCUCUUUUUUUUUUUUCUCAGAAAAAUUGUAGGCUGCAGCUCUCGUUAUUUCAAUUCAAGACUAAUUCCUCCUCUCCCACUCCAUAUGCUUCUGGUCUUUCCUCAAGGGUUGCCAACCAUGUGAGAGUCUAUUCUGCUCUAAAAUUCACUCUGCCCUCUAUGUCAAGACCCUGUUCUUUGUCCCAAACUUAUUAAAGAUUUUAUUUAUUUAUUCAAGAGAGACAGAGAUAGAGAGAGAGAGAGAGAGAGAGAAACAGACACAGGCAGAGGGAGAAGCAGGCUCCAUGCAGGGAGCCCGACGUGGGACUUGAUCCAGGGUCUCCAGGAUCACACCCUGGGCUGAAGGCGGUGCUAAACCACUGAGCCACCUGGGCUGCCCUGUCCCAAACUUUGAAGACAUUUUCACCCAUUCACUCAUUCAGCAGAUCUUUUACUGAGCACUUACUAUAAGCAAGGCUAUGGGAUAAACAGGGAUGAGUAGCACAGCCCUGUUUUUCUUUUCUUUUCUUUUUUUUAAAUAUUUUAUUUAUUUAUUCAUGAGAGAGAGACACACACACAGAGAGAGAGAGAGAGAGGCAGGGACAUAGGCAGAGAGAGAAGCAGGCUCCAUGCAAGGAGCCUGAUGUGGGACUUGAUCCCGGGUCUCCAGGAUCACGCCUGAAGACGGCGCUAAACCCACAGCCCUGUUAAGAAGCUCCUUUAUGAGAAAAAGAAUGUAAGAAAACAGAUAAAAUUAUUGUAUGUACAGGGCCAUGCGUUCCUUACCAAAUAAUGCCCUAGAAUGUCAGAGUUCGUCAAAAUCUGAGAGGUCAUCUAGCUGUUAAAAUAUCUUCAUGUAUUGACCCUACAAAUCCAAUCCCAGCAUCAUCUUGCACCUAGCAUUUGGGAGGCCUAAAUUCCAUGGUUGUAGGAAAGAGAUCAGAGCCUCUUUAUUGAAUCACCUAGAAGAAAUGCCUGCCCUUCGUGGUGUUUCCAUGUCUCUAUUCUGCUGGCCUUUUAAAUCCAGAGUUUAACCUCUCCAGGUCUUAGCUCCUUCCUCUGUUAAACGAGAAGGCUGGACUACAUGACUUCUGAGACCCUUCCAGCUCUAACAUUUUAUGAUCUAUGAUUAAGACUCAGAUGACAUUGCUCAACCUGCUGUCCAGAGGGUGACCCGCCAACUUUCAUAAAAACAAUCAUCAUUAACUUAUGUUAAUUGGUCAAUAAAACCAUCACAGUUUUAUAGCA
rnacentral:lncRNA from 12 species